rnacentral:rRNA from 1 species
AUUGAACGCUGGCGGAAUGCUUUACACAUGCAAGUCGAACGGCAGCACGGACUUCGGUCUGGUGGCGAGUGGCGAACGGGUGAGUAAUGUAUCGGAACGUGCCCAGUCGUGGGGGAUAACGUAGUGAAAAUUACGCUAAUACCGCAUACGAUCUAUGGAUGAAAGCGGGGGACCGCAAGACCUCGCGCGACUGGAGCGGCCGAUAUCAGAUUAGGUAGUGGGUGGGGUAAAGGCCCACCAAGCCAACGAUCUGUAGCUGGUCUGAGAAGACGACCAGCCAAACUGGAACUGAGACACGGUCCAGACUCCUACGGGAGGCAGCAGUGGGGAAUUUUGGACAAUGGGCGAAAGCCUGAUCCAGCCAUUCCGCGUGCAGGAUGAAGGCCCUCGGGUUGUAAACUGCUUUUGUACAGAACGAAAAGGUUUCUACUAAUACUAGGAGCUCAUGGCGGUACUGUAAGAAUAAGCACCGGCUAACUACGUGCCAGCCGCCGCGGUAA